rnacentral:lncRNA from 1 species
AGACAGAUUCUUCUUGAAAUGAGACCUUUGCUCUGGAGUCCGGCAGGGCUCAGACCCUGCUCAGGACAAGCCCCUAGGACCAGUGGACACUGCCUGUGGGCUCCUCCUGGCUGCACGUUGGCACCGACCAGCCCUUCGCCUCCAUCUCCAUCGGGGCCUGCUACCAGGUGUGGGCCGUGGCAAGGGACGGCUCCGCCUUCUACCGGGGAUCCGUGUACCCCUCGCAGCCAGCCGGUGACUGCUGGUACCACAUCCCGUCCCCACCGAGACAGAGGCUGAAGCAGGUGUCCGCGGGGCAGACGUCGGUGUAUGCCCUGGAUGAGAAUGGAAACCUGUGGUAUCGCCAAGGGAUCACGCCCAGCUACCCGCAGGGCUCCAGCUGGGAGCACGUGUCCAACAACGUGUGCCGAGUGUCCGUGGGGCCCCUGGACCAGGUCUGGGUGAUCGCCAACAAAGUGCAGGGCAGCCACAGCCUGAGCCGGGGGACAGUGUGUCAUCGCACC